rnacentral:rRNA from 1 species
UGAUCCAGACUUUGAUUAUGGCUCAGGAUGAACGCUGGCGGCGUGCUUAACACAUGCAAGUCGAACGAAGCAUUUAGGACAGAUUACUUCGGUUUGAAGUUCUUUAUGACUGAGUGGCGGACGGGUGAGUAACGCGUGGGUAACCUGCCUUGUACUGGGGGAUAGCAGCUGGAAACGGCUGGUAAUACCGCAUAAGCGCACAAUGUUGCAUGACAUGGUGUGAAAAACUCCGGUGGUACAAGAUGGACCCGCGUCUGAUUAGCUAGUUGGUGAGAUAACAGCCCACCAAGGCGACGAUCAGUAGCCGACCUGAGAGGGUGACCGGCCACAUUGGGACUGAGACACGGCCCAGACUCCUACGGGAGGCAGCAGUGGGGAAUAUUGCACAAUGGAGGAAACUCUGAUGCAGCGACGCCGCGUGAGUGAAGAAGUAAUUCGUUAUGUAAAGCUCUAUCAGCAGGGAAGAUAGUGACGGUACCUGACUAAGAAGCUCCGGCUAAAUACGUGCCAGCAGCCGCGGUAAUACGUAUGGAGCAAGCGUUAUCCGGAUUUACUGGGUGUAAAGGGAGUGUAGGUGGCCAUGCAAGUCAGAAGUGAAAAUCCGGGGCUCAACCCCGGAACUGCUUUUGAAACUGUGAGGCUAGAGUGCAGGAGGGGUGAGUGGAAUUCCUAGUGUAGCGGUGAAAUGCGUAGAUAUUAGGAGGAACACCAGUGGCGAAGGCGGCUCACUGGACUGUAACUGACACUGAGGCUCGAAAGCGUGGGGAGCAAACAGGAUUAGAUACCCUGGUAGUUCACGCCGUAAACGAUGAAUACUAGGUGUCGGGGCCCAUAAGGGCUUCGGUGCCGCAGCAAACGCAAUAAGUAUUCCACCUGGGGAGUACGUUCGCAAGAAUGCAACUCAAAUGAAU